GGAAUCAGUGAUACUCCUGGAACGCCAGCGUUUACUGUAUUAUUACCGUCAAAAAGAGAUUCUCCAAUAGCUCUAGGAUGCCAGACUCGGAACUCACAGAGGAGGAAACAGGGUUGGAGGCGUUCGCGUGCAGACGCAGGUUGGGGGGCCCUCUCGGUUAUCAGUGACCAUCGAAGGGCUGGGCGCCGGCUGCGAAGUCUCUACUGCCAUCUGCGUCACUUAAUCGGCCCAAGGCCCCAAUGCCCCUUGCACCGAGUGACCCGCCUGGCGUCCUCUGUGCCCCUCCGGGGACCGCCGCUGGCGCCACGGGGAGGUGGGCACUGUCCAGGGUGCUGUGCGCCGGGGCUGGAGGCUGCUGGGGGAGACCCGGGUGCGGACCCCUGCGGGGCUACACCCGGGGCUCGGCGAGCCCCGCCCCGCGUGCAGCGGCAGGCGGCGCCUUCCCCUUGGCCGGGCGCCGGGUCCACUGGGGGGCGCCAUAGGAGGGGGCAUUCCGGCCGCACCCUCUGGCGGGCGGACGCCGGGGUGGGGGUGGGGGGGCCCGGACGUCAGAACGGGACCCGGCGGCGGUGGCCUGGGCGCGGGGGCGCUGUAGGUGCGAGCGGGCGCGGGGAUGCGGGGCGCGGGGCCGACGAGGUGCGGGGAUGCGGGGCGCGGGGCCGUGGGUCUGGGUCGCGGCGCCUGCGUGCUGCGCGCCGUCGCCUCCGGGCUGCCUCUUCCUGCGGCGCCGGGUUUCGGUUUCGCCUCCGGCUCCGGGGUGCGGACCCCGCCCCCGAGCCGCGCCUCCCCCGGAGCGGAAUCCUUGGCUUUCUCCGGUGGCCGCCACGGAGCGGUGUUGUUACCAAAGGGUGUCCCUACGUGUCUCCACAGUCACUUUUAGGAGAAUGGCGUCCCCGUCCCCGUAACCGCGCGGCCCAGAGCGCAGCGUCCUCCCGGGUUUCUAGGACUGCCCGCCGCCAGGGUCCCCGGGCCAGGAUGGGCACCUCGGCCGUGACGGCCUCCAGGGUCGCCAGGCGGCCGCGGGGAGGCCAGAGGAGAAGGGAGAGCAGAGACGGGGAGGCCAGCCGCCCCUGCCCUGCUCCUGCCCUGCCCCUGCCCCGACUCCCCCACCCCUACCCUCUACCCCCGCUGCCCCUGACCCGCCCCCACCUCCCCACCCCCACCCCUACCCCCGCCGCCCCUGCCCCCCAAACCCCGCCGCCAGGCUUUGUUUAG
rnacentral:lncRNA from 1 species